AGGGGGACAACAGCCGGAAACGGCUGCUAAUACCCCAUAGGCUGGGGAGCAAAAGGGAGGAAUCCCGCCCAAGGAGGGGCUUGCGUCUGAUUAGCUAGUUGGUGGGGCAAUGGUUUACCAAGGCAACGAUCAGUAGCUGGUCUGAGAGGAUGAUCAGCCACACUGGGACUGAGACACGGCCCAGACUCCUAC
rnacentral:rRNA from 1 species